GAUAGAGGCCUACCAUGGUGGUAACGGGUAACGGGGUGUUAGGGCACGACACCGGAGAGGGAGCCUGAGAAACGGCUACCACAUCCAAGGAUGGCAGCAGGCGCGCAAAUUACCCAAUCCCGACACGGGGAGGUAGUGACAAUAAAUAACAAUACGGGGUUCUUUAGGAUCUCGUAAUUGGAAUGAGUACAAUUUAAAUCUCUUAACGAGGAACAAUUGGAGGGCAAGUCUGGUGCCAGCAGCCGCGGUAAUUCCAGCUCCAAUAGCGUAUAUUAAAGUUGUUGCAGUUAAAAAGCUCGUAGUUGAAUUUCGGGGUUAGUAGGUUGGUCAUGCCUCUGGUAUGUACUGGUCUCACUGAUUCCUCCUUCCUGAUGAACCUUAAUGCCAUUAAUUUGGUGUUUUGGGGAAUUUGGACUGUUACUUUGAAAAAAUUAGAGUGUUUAAAGCAAGCUAACGCUUGAAUACAUUAGCAUGGAAUAAUGAAAUAGGACGUUCGAUCCUAUUUUGUUGGUUUCUAGGAUUGACGUAAUGAUUAAUAGGGAUAGUUGGGGGCAUUAGUAUUCAAUUGUCAGAGGUGAAAUUCUUGGAUUUAUUGAAGACUAACUACUGCGAAAGCAUUUGCCAAGGAUGUUUUCAUUAAUCAAGAACGAAAGUUAGGGGAUCGAAGACGAUCAGAUACCGUCGUAGUCUUAACCAUAAACUAUGCCGACUAGGGAUCGGAUGAUGUUAAUUUUUUAAUGACUCAUUCGGCGCCUUACGGGAAACCAA
rnacentral:rRNA from 1 species